rnacentral:rRNA from 1 species
CAACUUUUGACGGUGGAUCUCUUGGCUCACGCAUCGAUGAAGAACGCAGCCAGCUGCGAUAAGUAGUGUGAAUUGCAGAAUUCAGUGAAUCAUCGAAUCUUUGAACGCAAAUGGCGCUCUUGGGUUCUCCCAGGAGCAUGUCUGUYUGAGUGUCGGAU